GUUACUGCUAUCGGAGUUCGAGUAAGCCAUGCGAGUCUAAAGGUUUCUUUCGGGAAGCCUUGGCGGACUGCUCAGUAACACGUGGAUAACCUACCCUUAGGAUUGGGAUAACCCCGGGAAACUGGGGAUAAUACCGGAUAGAUCAAGGAUGCUGGAAUGCACCUUGAUCCAGAGCUCCGGCGCCUAAGGAUGGGUCUGCGGCCUAUCAGGUUGUAGUGGGUGUAACGUACCUACUAGCCGACGACGGGUACGGGUUGUGAGAGCAAGAGCCCGGAGAUGGAUUCUGAGACACGAAUCCAGGCCCUACGGGGUGCAGCAGGCGCGAAACCUUUACAAUGUGCGAAAGCAUGAUAAGGGGACUCCGAGUGCCAGCAUCUAAUGUUGGCUGUCCUUGUGCCUAAAAAGCACAAGAUAGCAAGGGCCGGGUAAGACCGGUGCCAGCCGCCGCGGUAACACCGGCGGCCCGAGUGGUAGCCGCUAUUAUUGGGUCUAAAGGGUCCGUAGCCGGUUCGGUAAGUCCUCUGGGAAAUCUGGUUGCUUAACAAUCAGACUGCCAAAGGAUACUGCUGAACUUGAGACCGGGAGAGGUAAGAGGUACUUCAGGGGUAGGAGUGAAAUCUUGUGAUCCCUGGGGGACCAUCUGUGGCGAAGGCGUCUUACCAGAACGGGUCUGACGGUGAGGGACGAAAGCUGGGGGCGCAAACCGGAUUAGAUACCCGGGUAGUCCCAGCUGUAAACGAUGCUCGCUAUGUGUCAGGUACGGUGCGACCGUAUCUGGUGCCGUAGGGAAGCCGUGAAGCGAGCCACCUGG
rnacentral:rRNA from 1 species